rfam:Gossypium hirsutum cultivar TM-1 chromosome 15, whole genome shotgun sequence
AUUCCAUGGUGAGGGCAUUUACGUAAUAGUUCAUUGUAUCGUUCCCAUGCCACAUACAAGGAAUCAUCAUCCAUUUGUUGGAAGGAAGUGAUCUCGUUCCUCAACUU